rnacentral:lncRNA from 1 species
AUGCUCAAAGAGCCACCUCCGAUAUCAUAUUAGUUAAAUCUCUAUUUUGAACGGAUUGCGACAAAUUGGUGUCAAUUUUGCCGAAUUUCUAAAAAUCAUUUUUCGUGAACCGUUACAUCUUGAUGAUUUUGAAACUUGAGGUCAUUUUUGAUAAUGAAAUUUUGGUGUUUCGAUGUAUUUUGAAAUCUUAUAAUAUUUUAUUUUUAUUAUAAUAAUUUUUGGAAUAAAAUCCUUAAUUUAUAUAAAAUUAAUUUUAGUUAAAUGAAUUUUUAAUGCAAAUUUUUCGAAAUCUGGGGUUGUGUACCAGUACACAAACCUGUGUACCGGUACGGUUACUGUAACAACGGCUUAUAUAACCGGUUAUAGGGUUUUAUUUCUUCCAAAAUUCAAAACCAAAUCUCUUUCUCUCUAUUUCUACGACUCCCUGGGAUCCUCCUCCUCCAGAUCCACGAAGUUCCCCCCUAAAUUUGUAAGUCUUGAGUUGGGAUUUCAUGAUUUCAUCUCGUUUUUGCAUUUUUUCGAAAAAAUU